AUUGCCUGAAGACCUUUUUUUUAUCACGCCCCAUCUCUCCUUCUUCAACACUGUAAGAAGGAUCACCACAUCAAUUGCUACUUCAUUAUCGUCCAGAUCUGAAAUACCUUCUUUGAAACCCUCUCUGUAUCUGAAUCCCUUUUAACCCCGCUUUGCUUUGAAUCUCAGAUCUUCUUCGUCCCCGUUAAGAUCUGAAGCUCCUUCCAUCUCUCCUAGCGGGUGCUCAUUUCUGUUUGUCAGGCGAGCUCCUCUUACUAGGGUCAGCUGUCGAUUUUAC
rnacentral:lncRNA from 1 species